GAUGAACGCUGGCGGCGUGCCUAAUACAUGCAAGUCGAGCGAACAGACGAGGAGCUUGCUCCUCUGACGUUAGCGGCGGACGGGUGAGUAACACGUGGAUAACCUACUUAUAAGACUGGGAUAACUUCGGGAAACCGGAGCUAAUACCGGAUAAUAUAUUGAACCGCAUGGUUCAAUAGUGAAAGACGGUUUUGCUGUCACUUAUAGAUGGAUCCGCGCCGCAUUAGCUAGUUGGUAAGGUAACGGCUUACCAAGGCAACGAUGCGUAGCCGACCUGAGAGGAUGAUCGGCCACACUGGAACUGAGACACGGUCCAGACUCCUACGGGAGGCAGCAGUAGGGAAUCUUCCGCAAUGGGCGAAAGCUUGACGGAGCAACGCCGCGUGAGUGAUGAAGGUCUUCGGAUCGUAAAACUCUGUUAUUAGGGAAGAACAAAUGUGUAAGUAACUAUGCACGUCUUGACGGUACCUAAUCAGAAAGCCACGGCUAACUACGUG
rnacentral:rRNA from 1 species